rnacentral:rRNA from 1 species
GAUGAACGCUAGCGGGAGGCUUAACACAUGCAAGUCGAGGGGUAGGGAAGCAAUUCCUGAGACCGGCGGACGGGUGCGUAACGCGUAUGCAACCUGCCUUAUACAGGGGGAUAGCCCAUGGAAACGUGGAUUAACACCCCAUAGGAUUACGGGAUCGCAUGAUUUUGUGAUUAAAACUGAGGUGGUAUAAGAUGGGCAUGCGUCUGAUUAGGUAGUUGGUGAGGUAAUGGCUCACCAAGCCGACGAUCAGUAGGGGUUCUGAGAGGAUUACCCCCCACACUGGUACUGAGACACGGACCAGACUCCUACGGGAGGCAGCAGUGAGGAAUAUUGGUCAAUGGGCGAGAGCCUGAACCUGCCAAAUCGCGUGAAGGAUGAAGGUAUUAUGUAUUGUAAACUUCUUUUGUCGGGGAAUAAAGUGCGGGACGUGUCCCGUUUUGUAUGUACCCGAAGAAUAAGGAUCGGCUAACUCCGUGCCAGCAGCCGCCGUAAAAC